rnacentral:sRNA from 1 species
UCUGCAAAGGAUUCUCC